rnacentral:rRNA from 1 species
UUGAUCCUGGCUCAGGAUGAACGCUGGCGGCGUGCUUAACACAUGCAAGUCGAACGAACCUUCGGGUUAGUGGCGGACGGGUGAGUAACGCGUGAGAAUCUGCCCUCAGGAGGGGGAUAACGGCUGGAAACGGCCGCUAAUACCCCAUAUGCCGAGAGGUGAAACGAAAUUCGCCUGAGGAUGAGCUCGCGUCUGAUUAGCUAGUUGGUGGGGUAAGGGCCCACCAAGGCUUCGAUCAGUAGCUGGUCUGAGAGGAUGAUCAGCCACACUGGGACUGAGACACGGCCCAGACUCCUACGGGAGGCAGCAGUGGGGAAUUUUCCGCAAUGGGCGAAAGCCUGACGGAGCAACGCCGCGUGAGGGAUGAAGGCCUCUGGGCUGUAAACCUCUUUUCUCAAGGAAGAAGAUCUGACGGUACUUGAGGAAUAAGCCACGGCUAAUUCCGUGCCAGCAGCCGCGGUAAUACGGGAGUGGCAAGCGUUAUCCGGAAUUAUUGGGCGUAAAGCGUCCGCAGGCGGCCUUGUAAGUCUGUCGUUAAAGCGUGGAGCUUAACUCCAUUAAAGCGAUGGAAACUACAGGGCUUGAGUGUGGUAGGGGCAGAGGGAAUUCCCGGUGUAGCGGGUGAAAUGCGUAGAUAUCGGGAAGAACACCAGUGGCGAAGGCGCUCUGCUGGGCCAUAACUGACGCUCAUGGGACGAAAGCCAGGGGAGCGAAAAGGGAUUAGAUACCCCUGUAGUCCUGGCCGUAAACGAUGAACACUAGGUGUCGGGGGGAAUCGACCCCCCUCGGUGUCGUAGCCAACGCGUUAAGUGUUCCGCCUGGGGAGUACGCACGCAAGUGUGAAACUCAAAGGAAUUGACGGGGGCCCGCACAAGCGGUGGAGUAUGUGGUUUAAUUCGAUGCAACGCGAAGAACCUUACCAGGGUUUGACAUCCUGCGAACCCCUUGGAAACGAGGGGGUGCCUUCGGGAGCGCAGAGACAGGUGGUGCAUGGCUGUCGUCAGCUCGUGUCGUGAGAUGUUGGGUUAAGUCCCGCAACGAGCGCAACCCACGUCGUUAGUUGCCAGCAUUCAGUUGGGCACUCUAGCGAGACCGCCGGUGAUAAACCGGAGGAAGGUGUGGAUGACGUCAAGUCAUCAUGCCCCUUACAUCCUGGGCUACACACGUACUACAAUGCUACGGACAAAGGGCAGCAAACUCGCGAGAGCUAGCAAAUCCCAUAAACCGUGGCUCAGUUCAGACCGUAGGCUGCAACUCGCCUACGUGAAGGAGGAAUCGCUAGUAAUCGCAGGUCAGCAUACUGCGGUGAAUACGUUCCCGGGCCUUGUACACACCGCCCGUCACACCAUGGAAGUUGGCCACGCCCGAAGCCGUUACUCCAACCCUUGUGGAGGAGGAUGUCGAAGGUGGGGCUGAUGACUGGGGUGAAGUCGUAACAAGGUAGCCGU